rnacentral:misc_RNA from 1 species
GGUAUCGAUAGUGCCUACGAUAACCCACUAAACAACGGUUCUAUGGGAUGAUGGACUCGAUGCUAAACUCAUUCAUUAUCAGCUAACUUAUUUUUGUUUUCAAGAUCAAAAAUUUCCAAAUUUCUUAUCUGCAUAAAAAGAUAAAACUCGUGAAUUAAAUACCCGAUUAAAAAUUAAGAAUAUUAUAAAUGAGCUAUUAGUUCCUACAGUAAGCAACUUCGACGAGCGUUUGCAGCGCUUUGCUAGUUAAAUAUGCACUUUCUUUAAAACUUAUUUUUAUGAUAAAGAUUUUACGUUAUGAGAAAUUUGCUCAAGAAUAAUGUGUUCACAUACUGUUAUGUAGGUAUAGAAAUAAUUUAUUGUUAUAUUUAUUGAAAAUGUGUUCUAUUUGUUAUAUGAAUUGUUGCAAUAUUAACAUAAAAAAAAUUCUUCAUUGUCGAAAAAAAGAAGAAAAUUCUUCAUCAUGUUGUUAUGCAGUCAUGUAUUGUAUAAGAUUUUAUGAACUGCCUUUGUAAAUAUAUGCAUUGUAAAUAAUCGCUUGUGGCGCAAUUUUUGUGUUUUAUUUCAAUAGCAGGAUGGGAUCCGUGAUGACGUCAUGAUGAUCUGAUCUUGGGUUAAUUUAGUGUAUUCGGAUAGCUUUUCUUUAUCAAAGUAGAUUUGGUUUUUGGUUGAAAAAUGCAUAUAAAACUCUACGAAAUAUUUUGCUAAUUCCGUCCCAGCUGACAUCACGCUAAUAAGCUUGUGUUAACGUAACUUUUGCAAUGUCAAUAAAAUAUUGUUUG